rfam:Clostridium bolteae CAG:59 genomic scaffold, scf91
GGAACCUGUACUCGUUGCGGCGCAACGAUUGUCAGGGA